AUUGAACGAUGGCGGCAGGCCUAACAAAUGCAAGUAGGGCGAGAGGCGGACGGGUGAGUAAUGUAUGGGGAUCUGACUGAUGGAGGGGGAUAAAUACUGGAAACGGUAGCUAAUAACGCAUACCCUAAGCUGAACCCAUAUGGGAUUAGAUUGUAGGUGAGGUAACGGAUCACCUAGGAGACGAUACCUAGCUGGUCUGAGAGGAUGAUCAGCCACACUGGGACUGAGACACGGCCCAGACUCCUACGGGAGGCAGCAGUGGGGAAUAUUGCACAAUGGUCGCAAGCCUGAUGCAGCCAUGCCGCGUGUAUGAAGAAGGCCUUCGGGUUGUAAAGUACUUUCAGUCGGGAGGCGUUACCGACAGAAGAAGCACCGGCUAACUCCGUGCCAGCAGCCGCGGUAAUUC
rnacentral:rRNA from 1 species